AGUGAACGCUGGCGGCAUGCCUAACACAUGCAAGUCGAACGGCAGCACAGUAAGAGUUUGCUCUUACUGGUGGCGAGUGGCGGACGGGUGAGGAAUACAUCGGAAUCUACUUUUUCGUGGGGGAUAACGUAGGGAAAGUUACGCUAAUACCGCAUACGACCUACGGGUGAAUGCAGGGGAUCUUCAGAGCUUGCGCGACAUAAUGAGCCGCUGUCGGAUUAGCUAGUUGGCGGGGUAAAGGCCCACCAAGGCGACGAUCCGUAGCUGGUCUGAGAGGAUGAACAGCCACACUGGAACUGAGACACGGUCCAGACUCCUACGGGAGGCAGCAGUGGGGAAUAUUGGGCAAUGGGCGCAAGCCUGAUCCAGCCAUACCGCGUGGGUGAAGAAGGCCUUCGGGUUGUAAAGCCCUUUUGUUGGGAAAGAAAAGCAGCAGGUUAAAACCCCGCUGUUCUGACGGUACCCAAAGAAUAAGCACCGGCUAACUUCGUG
rnacentral:rRNA from 1 species